rnacentral:rRNA from 1 species
UUGGAGGGCAAGUCUGGUGCCAGCAGCCGCGGUAAUUCCAGCUCCAAUAGCGUAUAUUAAAGUUGUUGCAGUUAAAAAGCUCGUAGUUGAAUUUCGGGGUCAGUAGAUUGGUCGUGCCACUGGUAUGUACUGGUCUUACUGGCUCCUCCUUCCUGAUGAACCGUAAUGCCAUUAAUUUGGUGUUGCGGGGAAACUGGACUGUUACUUUGAAAAAAUUAGAGUGUUUAAAGCAGGCUAACGCUUGAAUACAUUAGCAUGGAAUAAUGAAAUAGGACGAUCGAUCCUAUUUUGUUGGUUUCUAGGAUUGACGUAAUGAUUAAUAGGGAUAGUUGGGGGCAUUAGUAUUCAAUUGUCAGAGGUGAAAUUCUUGGGUUUAUUGAAGACUAACUACUGCGAAAGCAUUUGCCAAGGAUGUUUUCAUUAAUCAAGAACGAAAGUUAGGGGAUCGAAGACGAUCAGAUACCGUCGUAGUCUUAACCAUAAACUAUGCCGACUAGGGAUCGGAUGAUGUUAAUUUUUUAAUGACUCAUUCGGCGCCUUACGGGAAA